GCCGUUAAAUCUUUUAAAGGUUGACCUCGGAUCAGGUAGGGAUACCCG
rnacentral:rRNA from 1 species